rnacentral:rRNA from 1 species
GACGAACGCUGGCGGCGUGCUUAACACAUGCAAGUCGAGCGGUAAGGCCCUUUCGGGGGUACACGAGCGGCGAACGGGUGAGUAACACGUGGGUGACCUGCCCUUAGCUCUGGGAUAAGCCUGGGAAACUGGGUCUAAUACCGGAUAUGACUCCAUGACGCAUGUUGUGGGGUGGAAAGCCUUGUGCGGCUAGGGAUGGGCCCGCGGCCUAUCAGCUUGUUGGUGGGGUGAUGGCCUACCAAGGCGACGACGGGUAGCCGGCCUGAGAGGGCGACCGGCCACACUGGGACUGAGACACGGCCCAGACUCCUACGGGAGGCAGCAGUGGGGAAUCUUGCGCAAUGGGCGAAAGCCUGACGCAGCGACGCCGCGUGA